rnacentral:rRNA from 1 species
GCUCGUAGUUGGAUUUCUGGCGGGAGCGGGUGGUCCGGCACUUUGUGUUGGUACUUUCCUGUCUCUUGCCAUCCUUGGGUCUAAGCUGUCUGGCAUUUAGUUGUCGGGCAGUGGCUGCCCAUCGUUUACUGUGAAAAAAUUAGAGUGUUCAAAGCAGGCUUAUGCCGUUGAAUAUAUUAGCAUGGAAUAAUAAGAUAGGACCUUGGUACUAUUUUGUUGGUUUGCGCACCGAGGUAAUGAUUAAGAGGGACAGUUGGGGGUAUUCGUAUUCAAUUGUCAGAGGUGAAAUUCUUGGAUUUCUGGAAGACGAACUACUGCGAAAGCAUUUACCAAGGAUGUUUUCAUUAAUCAAGAACGAAAGUUAGGGGAUCGAAGAUGAUUAGAUACCAUCGUAGUCUUAACCAUAAACUAUGCCGACUAGGGAUUUGUGGGUGUUAUUUUUGACCCCAUGAGCACCUUAUGAGAAAUCAAAGUCUUUGGGUUCCG